rnacentral:rRNA from 1 species
GACAGAGGGUGCAAACGUUGUUCGGAAUUACUGGGCGUAAAGCGUGUGUAGGCGGCCACGUAAGUCGGAUGUGAAAGCCCUGGGCUCAACCCAGGAAGUGCACUCGAUACUGCGUGGCUCGAGUACUGGAGAGGUUGGUGGAAUUCUCGGUGUAGAGGUGAAAUUCGUAGAUAUCGAGAGGAACACCGGUGGCGAAGGCGGCCAACUGGACAGAUACUGACGCUGAGACACGAAAGCGUGGGGAGCAAACAGG